rnacentral:rRNA from 1 species
AUACGUAGGUGGCGAGCGUUGUCCGGAUUUACUAGGUGUAAAGGGCGAGUAGGCGGGCUUGCAAGUCAGAUGUGAAAUACCGAGGCUCAACUUCGGGGCUGCAUUUGAAACUGCGAGUCUUGAGUGAUGGAGAGGCAGGCGGAAAUUCCCGUGUAGCGGUAAAAUGCAUAGAUAUUGGGAAGAACACCAGUGGCGAAGGCGGCCUGCUGGACAUUAACUGACGCUGAGGAGCGAAAGUGUGGGGAGCAAACAGGAUUAGAUACCCUGGUAGUCCACACCGUAAACGAUGGAUACUAGGUGUGCGGGGACUGACCCCCUGCGUGCCGCAGUUAACACAAUAAGUAUCCCACCUGGGGAGUACGAUCGCAAGAUUGAAACUCAAAGGAAUUGACGGGG